rnacentral:rRNA from 1 species
ACUGCUCAGUAACACGUAGAUAAUCUGCCUUAAGGCGCAUAAUACCCUCGGGAAACUGAGGUUAACGAUGCAUAGGAAAAAAUUUCUGCAACGAGUUUUUUCUGAAACGCAAGGCCUUAAGAUGAGUCUGCGGCUGACUAGGUAGUUGUUGAGGUAAUGACUCAACAAGCCAAUUAUCAGUAAGGGCCCUUAACGGGGGUGCCCUGAGAAGGACUCUGAGACACUAGUCCUAGCUCUAUGGAGUGCAGCAGGCGCGAAAAUUUCUCAAUGUCCGCAAGGAUGAAGAAGGAAUCCGAAGUGCUGUUUUUUUAAAAACAGCUUUUCUCUACUGCAAAAAGGCAGAGGAAUAAGGGCUGGGUAAGACCGGUGCCAGCCGCCGCGGUAAUCCCGGCAGCUCAAGUGGUGGCCACAUUUACUAGGUCUAAAACAUUCGUAGCUCGUCGAGCAAGUUUCUUGUCAAAUUUUACAGCUUAACUGUAAAGCGCGCAGGAAAUACUGCUUGGCUUGGGAUCGGGAGACGCAACGAGUACAGCCAAGGUAGCGGUAAAAUGUUUUAAUCUUGGCUGGACUAACAAUGGCGAAGGCACGUUGCGAGAACGACUCUGACGGUGAUGAAUGAAGGCCAGGGGCGCAAAAUGGAUUAGAUACCCAUGUAGUCCUGGCUGUAAACACUGCUUACUAAACAUCGUGAUCUCCUCGAGAGAUUGCGGUGCUGUAGCGAAGGCGUAGAGUAAGCUACCUGGGGAUUACAGUCGCAAGACCGAAACUUAAAGGAAUUGGCGGGGGAGCA